rnacentral:lncRNA from 10 species
CAUCUUUAUAGGCCAGUUCAUUGCAUGGUCUGAAUUUCAACUCCAGUGUCAUGCUUGCUAUUUGCAAAAUGCUGUGCAGAACUUCUCUUCUUGCGUGUGGACAGCAAAGUUAAACUGAAAUAAGAAACCUGACAAAGAUUUCAAGAAGCAAGAUAAUGUAGAAACUAUGCCAAUGUCAACAAUUUCUAAGGACAUUUAGAGAAGACGGGUUGAAGAAAGAAGUUGCAUGCUGGAGACCAAUUAACAGGGCUACUAUGAAUAAUGCUGCUAAUGAACGUUCACAAAUAAGUCUUGUAUGGACGUAUGGCUUCAUUUCUCCAGGAGCUAUGAUCCCUUCUGAGUGUGUAUGAAGGCGUGUAUGGAAUGAGCAUUGAGCACUGAAAAUUAUCUACAAACAACCUCCACAAGCUCCAAAUUCUGCCUCCUUACAUCAACCAGAAUGAUGGUCUUUGUUUGGUUAUAUCCAACCACUGCUACAGCUUGAAACCAACUUUAUCGAGAAAACCAUAGCAAUUAUAAAGCUUCCCUCAUUUGUUUACCUUAUCUCAAUUAUCAUAGUCCUGAGCUGCUUGUGAUCUGCUGUCUAAAACAAUAAUUUUAUAUAGUUGUUUGGAUUUUGAAUUGUUUGCAGGCAUAAAGUAAGUCUUGUUCUUGUUGCUUUUGCUUAUCUGGAAGUAGAAGUUCUCUUACAUAGUGAAAAAACUCCAAGACACAGUCUGAGCAAUGAUUUUCAGAAUAGAAACCCCAGAACAGAAGAAACAAAAACAACAACAUUCAAAUGGAAUUGCAUUAAAUUAAAAACAUUCUGCAGAGCAAAGGAAACAUUCAUCAGAGUAAGGAGAUAACACAGAAUAGGAUAAGAUAUUUGCAAACCAUACAUUUGAUAAGGGGUUAAUAUAUUAAAAAAAUAAGGAAGUCAACAGUGUGAAAACAAAUAACCACAUUAAAAAAUGGGCAAAGGACUUGAAUAGAAAAUUCUCAAAAGAAGACAAAUACUGUCUGGCCUGUCUGAGACAUACGUGUCUGGCCAAAAAAAUAAAUAUACUUCUUUGGCCAAAAGGUAUAUAAAAAUGCCCAAAAUCAAGAACCAGGGUAAUGUAAAUAAUAACCACAAUAAAAUGUCAUCUCACUUCUGUUAGAAUGACCAUUAUUAAAAAGAUGAAAGGCAGCAAGUGUUGCCAAGGAUAUGGAGAAAAAGGAACACUUAGAUACUGUUGAUGGGAAUGUAAAUUGUACAGUAAUUAUGGAAAACAAUAUUGAGGUUCCUCAAAAAAAUUCAAAAUAGAACUACAAUAUGAUAUAGCAAUUCUGCUUCUGGGUAUAUAUCUUAAGAAUAUGAAACCUGGAUGCCCACAAUAUAUCUGUACUCCCAUGUUCAUUACAGCAUUGAUCAUGAUAUCUUAGAUAUCGAUUUAACCUAAGUGUUCAUGGAUAAGUGAAAAGAUUUAAAAAAUGUGAUACACACACACAUGAAUACACACACACACGUAGAAGGAAAUAUUAUUCAGCCUUAAAAUGAAGAAAAUUGUAUUAUUUGCAACAACAUGGAUAAAGGUGAACAACAUGUUAUGUAAAAUAAGCUAGAAACAGACAGACAAAUACUGCAUAAUCUCAUUUAUAUGUGGAAUAUAAAAAUGGAACUCAGAGAAAUAGAGUAGAAUCAUAGUUUCCAGGGCUGGAGGUGAGGAAGAGAAUGGGGCAAAAUUGACCAAAGGUUAUAAAAUUUCAGUUAUGCAGGAUGAAUAAGUUCUUGAGAUCUAAUAUACAACAUGCUGAAUAUAGUUAAUAAAACUUUAUUGUAUAGUUGAAUAAAGUAGAUGUUGAAUUUUCUCAGUAUAGAAAAAAAUGGGAAUUUAUGAGGUGAUUGGUAUGUUAAUAAACUUGAUUAUUGUAACCCUUUUAUAGUAUAUACAUAUACCAAAACACAAUUUACCACCUUUAUUUUCUAAUUAUACCUGUAUUAAUCUGUUUUCACACUGCUGAUUAAGACAUACCAGAGACUGGGCAAUUUACAAAAGAAAGAAGUUUAUUGAACUUACAGUUCCAUGUGCCUGGAGAGACCUCACAAUCAUGGCAGAAGGUGAAAGGCACAUCUCACAUGAUGGCAGACAAGAGAACAGAGCUUGUGCAGGGAAACUCACAUUUUUAAAACCAUCAGAUCUCAUGAGACGUAUUGACUAUCACAAGAACAGCAUAGGAAAGACCCGCCCCCAAGAUUGAAUUACCUCCCACCAGGUUAGAUGAGAUUUGGAUAGGGACAGAGUCAAACCAUAUUAAUAUCCCAUUAAAUCUGGGGGGAGAAAGAUCUGAGUGACUCCUCUACAUUAAAAAAAAACUUCCUUUGAUAUAGCACAUGAAAGAUGAGCCUAAGAAGCCUGAGAAGGUUGAGCACAUUGACAAGAGCUUAUCCAAUGCAAUGUAAACAAAAGACCAGCAAAAUUGAGAGUAAUAAUUUAGGCAGUCUCUCUUGGCCACAAACAACUCCAUGCUAUUGGUAUUUUCCUCACCAGAAACCCUUGCUAUGCCCUUUAAUACUCUGAAUUUAACAGCAGAAUCUUCAAAAUAAAGAAUGAAUAUAUUUUUCUUUGCACAGUUACUUAAUUUCUUGGAAGUUGACUCAACUUUUCUCUUUUAGUGCUUUACCCUAUUAAUUUUGACCAAAAACAUUGAGAAUGUUUACACUGACUAUUCCAGUAAAAUUACUUGACUCUCGUAAUCAUUUGUUGAGAAGUUACUACAUGCAAGGUAGAAGUCCUCAAAAGUAGAAAGUGAGAGGGAAAUUAAAACUAACUUUCAAAUAAACAACUUUUUUUUUUUAUUGCAUUAAGAGCUCAAGAGUUACUGAAAGUCUCUGAUGCAACCCAGUAUGGGUUCACCAAAUUCACCAUUUGAAACCUCUCCUUCACUAGCUUUGACACUGCACUGAGACAGGGGAGUUUACUGCCACUUUUUGCUUUAAGCCUUCUCUUUAUUUGCUGGAUGACUAAAAACUAUUAUUAUGGGGACCCACAGGCUAUUAAGGCUAUAUAGAGAUCUAGGUUAGUAAUUAUGAUUAUAAUAAUAAUAGUAAUAAUAUUACACUAUAUAUAUUAACUUUUUUUGAUUUAGUAAAAUGGAAGUUUAGACAUAUAAUACCUAAGUAACUGGGGGCUAGUGAGGUACAACAUAGAUUUUUAAUUUCCUGAUUUCUCUCAGUUGAGCCUAAACCUAUAAUACCUCUUAAAUUAUUUAAAUUAUGUUUUUUAUAUAUGCCAUAAUUAUUCACUCAUUUAUUAUAAAAUGAUCACUCAGGAAGACUGCACUGAUAUAAGUCUACAAUACAAACUCUGAAGUCCUC